UACGGGGGGAGCAAGCGUUGUUCGGAUUCAUUGGGCGUAAAGGGCGCGUAGGCGGCUUGGCAAGUCCGACAUGAAAUGUACCGGUUCAACCGGGGCACUGUGUCGGAAACUGCCUGGCUUGAGGUCGAGGGAGGAGAGUGGAAUUCCUGGUGUAGCGGUGAAAUUCGUAGAUAUCAGGAGGAACACCAGUGGCGAAGGCGGCUUUCUGGACGGUAACUGACGCUGAGACGCGAAAGCGUGGGGAGCAAACAGG
rnacentral:rRNA from 1 species